rnacentral:snRNA from 1 species
AUGCUCACUUGGUAGCACAUAUACUAAAAUUAGAAUGAUAAAGAGAAAAUUAUCAUGGCCCCUGCGCAAGCCAUGCAAAUUAAUGAAGCAUUCCAUAUUUUU